UCUUCUCUUUCUCUUUUUAUUUAUUCGUAUUGUGUCGUAGUUUGGGUUUAUGAAACCCUAGGACUCGAUUGUAUUAAGUUACUUACUUGUUUUGUUUCAUGUAAUUUUAUAAAUUUCAUUUAAAGAUGAUUUGUUCUGAUUUGGUAAAAGAAUGUCUUGAACUUUGUCACGAAUUGAUAGAACUCGUGAGUUUUCGUUUAUCAAUGAAAGACCAAAUGCUUUAUUAUUAACACAUUUAAGUUAGUUUGAGUGUUCUGAGUGUCAAAUGUUCAAAUUAUCUUGUCAAAAAAAAAAAAAACAGAAUCCAGAUUUGUUUGAAUUGAAAGAUAGAGUUCAUUAGGUUGGCGAAGGCAUCACUAAAAAUUCAGUGUUCUUCAUGGGCAUGAAAGGUCGUUUUUAGGUGUCUUAUGUUUGCAAACGAAUUCGGUGAUUGACCGGUAGUAGGUCCCAACUUGCUCAAAUUAGUUGUGCAUUGUGUAGUUCAUCAAGGAGCACUUCUAACACCAUACACCUUACCUCAUCCUACUUUCCAAACUACACAUUCUAACAUAGAGGUUGUUACAUAAUUGAAUGAUGCCAUGAGUUAGCAUUUAAGAUACAAAGGACAUUGUUAUGGUUGAAUGGAUAUUGGUGCAACACUAUCAUGAAGGGCCAUGGUGUGCUCCUUGUUUCCUUUUGGUGAAAGGCCUGUAGACCUAGGUACCUUGUAGGUCAGCAAUAAAAGUAGGAUUUUCACCAAAUUCAUGUGUACGUGUGUUGUGUGUGUACUCCUACAUAUGGCUUGAUGUUGGUUGUUCAUGGUGUUGAAAUGCUUCCUCAAUAUUGAAAGUGGAAGAGAAAUGGGCACCUUCAGUAUUAUCCUCGUCAUCACCUAGUACUUGGUCGUCAUCACCUUCUUCCUCCAUUGCUUGAUCAUCAUCUUCAAGAGGAAAUAUUGAUCUUUACUUCAUAUCCACACCCAUUUUCAAAGGAGAAACCCAUGUGGGUUAAUAAUAGGAGGUUGUAGGUGUCACUAAGCUUUGGUCUAUUCCACCCCAAAAUUCAACCCCAAAGGAACCCCAAGUUUUUGAAUCUUUACUCCCUCCCAAAGGGUUGAUAUUUAUAGACUAAUAAGUUCAGCUGGAUAAAAUUAAAAGGCUAAGCAAUAAGAUUCUGAAAAACACAUGAACUUAAAGACUCUCAUUUCUCUUAGGAUAAAUAAGAAGUUGUUGGGGGCCUAUUACUGCUGCAGUAAAGUUUUGAUAUUUUUAUUAAAUUUAAUUGUUAUUGACUAUUUCUGAUUUCAGUACUUGCCUCAAAGUACAGAAGUCUUAAACUUGAAAUAGAAGAAUUAGUUAAUCGACUGAUAUUGUAGAAUCAGUGAUAUUAUAUUUCUUUAAAGGCAGUGAUGCUUUAAGCCCUCCCUGUGAUGACUUUUGCUGUAUUCAUCAACGAGAGAAAUCAAACUUUUUUGCUAGGCAUGUGAUUAAAAAUGACAUUUUUUUGUCCAUACUUAUGCUGUGGUAUUGAUUAUAAAAGUGUGUUAAUUUAGAGUUGUUUGGACCUUUGAAUUUGAAUGGCCUCAAUGUUUUCCUAUGCUAUUUUAUUAUGUACUCUCUUUUAGGAUCUUCUGUAUGAAAAAUUCCAUGCACCGGAAAUGAUCAACUUUCCAGUUUUUGAA